rnacentral:lncRNA from 1 species
ACUCGAGAUGGUCAUAUGAUUUGACUUUGCUUUCACGUGGCAACCAGUUAGUGUGUAGCCAUGGCACAUCCAUACUCUUUCUUUAAAUAUUUACAUAUCUGAUCCUCAUUAUUCUUUCAUCGUGUUUUCUAAUCAUUCAUCGUUUACAUAAUAUUACCCAGUUUGAUUGAUUGCAGAUCAAUGGUGGAUACUUGGGUUACACCAGUUCUUUUUGAUUCAGUUGUUGGAGGGCUGACGACGUUUGAGCCUACUUAUGUCAUUUUCUCGGGUGCCUUUUUUCAUGUUAUGCAUAUAGACUAA